GGGCAAUUCUCGCCCCAGCUUCAGAAAUUCAGAAUUUCUUCAAUCUGCACUAUCUCUCUCUCUCAAUUACCAGACCCCGGCAACUACGUCCAUUCUCCGGCGAGUCGCGGCGGCGGCGGCAAUAGCAGUUUAUCGGCGAAGAGUGGAUUGCCGGAGAUCGAAGGGAGUGGGUUUUUUAUUUUGGGAUCUAGGGUUCGAGUGAUUUUUGAUUUUUUUUUCUGGUUCUAGAUCAAUUUCCUUGAGCACUCUCGAAGAUUUCAAGAACUCUUUGGCUCCAGUUCAUCCAGCAAAGACACAAUUAUUAGAGUCAGAUACUGUCUCGGAUCUGACUUCAACUCUAUCCUCCUUCUCCGUGACUGCUACUCCUUACAAGUACAUUUCCAUUGAAACGCCCUACACCGACAAAUCUGAGAUGGAUUCUCUCAAGAUGGGAGGAUCAGUUGAGGCAGAGGUAGUGAUAAAACAUUUAAGAGAAGCUAGAGUUCAAGUCUCGAAAUCAAAAGAUGUCGGCCCUUCAAAGAAUGUCGUGGAGGCUCUCAUAAACAUCAUCAUCGAAGAGUUUCGUGGUAGUGUUUAUGAAGAGGAUGAAUGGCUUGAUAAACUCCUGUCGAGUAAGCGCAAUCAGGUUUUCUUGAUCUGUAUUAUGGUGUUAUUCUCUCUGUUGAUGGUUUGGUUCCUCAGUUCAAGUUUAAAUGGAUCCUUCACUAGACCAAAGCCAACAUAAUGUGCUAAUUGUGACUAUUUGUGGAUAAGAGAUUGGAAGAGCAGCUGCCGUGAAAUAAACAAAUGUGAGUAGGAAUCCAUGAAAUGGAAAAAAUUCUGCUAUCUACCAACUGUUUUUAUUUCAAUGUUGCUUUAGCAGCCAAAUUAUGCAUAAGCAUGAAAUGAAAAAACUCUACUAUCUACCAACUAUUUUGUUUCAAUGUUGCUUUAGCAGCCAUAUUUUUGCCUCUUUUUUUAAUGUUCUUGAGCUGUGAUAAUGCCUUGAUUUAUAGAUCAGUUAUAGAAUGCAUUAUAUGUGUCCAAGUUCUUAAUAAUGAACUCUAUUGCCUUCUUCAUUUGGUUUCUAAUAGCUCUGUAAUGUUGGAUUUUACUCGACACACCGGGGCACUUGCUUGAGAGGCCAUCGCUGUUUGGGGCGCUGGUGCAGGAGUACGCGAACCGGUCGGCGGAACUGUGACGAGACAAAUCUGCAGUUGAUCUGUUGGAGGGCUCCUUUCUUUCAGAUAUUUCUCCCCAGCUCGAUAGGCGCUGGGUUUUUGAGAUGUCGGAUUUGGCCUCUUUUGGCUAUCAUUCUUGGCAGCAAGUCUUUCUCUUUUGCGUGGACUAUCACCGGUUUUGCUGCCUAUUUUGGUGUUCUGCCAUGGGGUUGUUAAGUUCUCUUUUCUGGACUUGGUCGACGGGGGGGAUUGCUAGGCUGAUUUGGGUUGCUUUGUGUUUGUGAUCACUGAGAUUCCAAAAUCAAUAUAAGAGGGCGAGAUGGGGGCGAAGCUCUCCAGCAAUGGAAGUUUUAUCCGUAGGAAUUCAAUCACCCAUGGCCAUGGAUCUUCUGCUGCAUUUUAGUUUUUCGUUUUUUUUUUUCGAUUUCUUGAAACAGCCGCAUACUGUGUAUUCUUUGUUGGUGGGAAUUCCAUUUUUUUUUCUUGAAACAAUCGAUUCGUUGAACCUACUUUUAAUAGUAUGGUUAAAUUUAUAAAAGGGAAAUUUUUCAUUCUCA